GACGAACGCUGGCGGCGUGCUUAACACAUGCAAGUCGAGCGGUAAGGCCCUUUCGGGGUACGACGAGCGGCGAACGGGUGAGUAACACGUGGGUGACCUGCCCUCAGCUCUGGGAUAAGCCUGGGAAACCGGGUCUAAUACCGGAUAUGACUCCAUGACGCAUGUUGUGGGGUGGAAAGCCUUGUGCGGCUGAGGAUGGGCCCGCGGCCUAUCAGCUUGUUGGUGGGGUGAUGGCCUACCAAGGCGACGACGGGUAGGCCGGCC
rnacentral:rRNA from 1 species